UACAGAGGUCCCAAGCGUUGUUCGGAAUUACUGGGCGUAAAGGGCGCGUAGGCGGCCUGUUUAGUCAGAAGUGAAAGCCCCGGGCUCAACCUGGGAAUAGCUUUUGAUACUGGCAGGCUUGAGUUCCGGAGAGGAUGGUGGAAUUCCCAGUGUAGAGGUGAAAUUCGUAGAUAUUGGGAAGAACACCGGUGGCGAAGGCGGCCAUCUGGACGGACACUGACGCUGAGGCGCGAAAGCGUGGGGAGCAAACAGG
rnacentral:rRNA from 1 species